rnacentral:rRNA from 1 species
GACGAACGCUGGCGGCGUGCCUAACACAUGCAAGUCGAACGGGACCAGGGGCAACUCUGGUUCAGUGGCGGACGGGUGCGUAACACGUGAGGAACAUGACCUUCGGCGGGGGAGUAGCCGGCCCGAACGGCCGGGUAAGUACCGCGUACGACCACAUGGGGACGAUCCCUGAGUGGUGGAAAGACAGCAAUGCGCCGAUGGAGUGCCUCGCGGCCUAUCAGCUAGUUGGUGAGGUAACGGCCACCAAGG